ACCCAAAAGGCGUUCCAUAGCAAAGAUCAAAAUGGCAUUCCAUAGAAAUCCUGGUUGAGAAUGAAACGACAGAAGAAAUGAACAACGAAACAACACAGCAAUCUGCCGCUGUGCCAGGGGUCCUGGGUCUGAUGACGGGCACUGCGACUGUCCUGGCCACCAGCGAGGUGAAGAAGAAACCUGCAGCUCUGAGUCUCAGUAUUGAAGAGCUCCCGUCCCUCUAUGUUACUCCGGAGCCGCAGCUCCGGUAUGUGGAGCCAGAGGUGGGGCCAGUGGAACAGGGCGUGGCCAAGCUGAGGAAAUGGGCCGAGCCUUACACCAACCAGUGUCAGGUAACGGGUCUGGUUGCCCUGGAGAAAGCUGAGGAGGUCUACAGGACUGUAGAGCCCACUGUGAGCGCCUCCACCAGGACAGUGAGAGGUGAGAAGACACUUAUAUCAUGCAGAUACCUUUUAUAUACACAUACAUACACAAAACUGUGUCCUCUCUCUCUGUCUCUCUCUUUCUCAGAGACAUAUGAGUUCCUCAAUGAUCCUCCUCCGGACCUCUAUCCCAGCGUCGGGGUGGUUGGCUUCUCUGGCUUCUUAGGAUUGUACCUGGCCAAAGGUUCCAGGGUGAAGAGGCACUAAUCGCUCAGCACUACUCUGUGUCUCUAGGUUCCAGGGUGAAGAGGCUGGUGUUUCCUGUCGGGCUGAUGGCUCUUAGUGCUUCCAUGUUCUACCCCCAGCAAGCUGCCUCCUUAACCAAGGUGAGCAGGGACUCUGUGUACAGCUGGAGUCAGCAGGGUCGGGAUGCUGUGCAGACGCUCUGGAAGGACCUGCCAUUUGGCAAGGGCAAGGCAGGCUGAGAAGGCCGAGGACAAGAGCACUGGUAGCUGAGACAGAGAGCCUAGACACAUCGCAUGAGAUUUUGAAAGUUAAUGGCAUCAAAGGUCCCAAAACAAUCACAUUUUGUUGUGUCGUGGAACAUUUGGUUCAAACGUAGAGGAUAGGUUAUAAUUGGAGCCCGGCCUGUAUAUUGUUUCACCGAUAUUAUCCAUCUAUAUUGGACGUAAAACCCAGGGUGUUUUAUUUGACUGUGUGUGUUCAUGUUGUGGGCCUAAUGUUGUGUCAGAGUGUGUUUGGGAGUGUAUGUUCAAUCAUGUGGUGUUCCUAGGUGUGGAUUGUUGCUGGCCCUCAGGCCCUUGUUCUCCUAUGCCUUUGGCACCUGAUUUGUUUCAUGAAAUUGUGAAAUCCCGAAUGACUGAUGUUAAUAUAGGGGAUUAGGAUUCUUGGCAUGAUAACAACGGUUGUCAGAGGAGUUGGACUGCAACUUCUGACAGAAUCACCUAUAUUCACAACAGCCCUCUUUUCCCCGAGAGUGUUUCCCUAGGUGCAAACGUGUGACACAAAGCUCCUCACGGUGCACGUAGUGUUGGCACACAAAACAGAAAAGUAUUUGAAUUUUGAAGGACGUUACAUCAUGUCAUCACACCCACCAGUGGUAAGAGCCUGUUAUUACCAUAAUCUACUGUAUGUCUAAAUUGGUUGGAACCAGUCUCUUGUCGUAAAAAUACAAUUUGUUUUCAGUGAUAUAACCUGGCUUACUAGAGGUGAUAUAAACUCUGUACAUCUGGGUGUGCUGCACCAGUGUGGAUCGAAAUCACAUUCAACACCCCUAUAUGCACCGCGCCUCCAUGGUGUACACACACCCUAGACAGAGGACCUUAACAUACCGCUGUCUCUCCUGUAACAUGAUACAUCACAUUCCCUCUUGCUCAGUUACCUUGCCAACUAACCAUGCCAACCUGUUGUAACCAUGCCAAUGGACACAGGAGACUCCUGUCAGCUGUCCUCUGACCUCGUUUCUGUGUUUGUCUAAAUAUUGUUGCUCAUGCUUGUUUUGGUUAUGUAUUUAUUUCUAAAGACAUUCCCCCAUCAUUGAUCCACCACAGAGUGCACUACGAUAAUGUUACAUAAAGUAUUUAAAAAGUUAAAGAUGUACUUCUACUGAAGAAUAUUUAAAAGUGGUGUAUAUUUGAAGUAUUUUGUGUUUCAGGUGAUGAUUUUCAUUUUGAAUUGGUUGAUUUUGUAUUGAUUGUCUGUUCCCAGAAAACUACUAUCUAUAAACAGAGACAUGGUCCUAAUAAACCAAACUCCUAUAUGA